ACUCAAAUGAAUUGACGGGGACCCGCACAAGCGGUGGAGCAUGUGGUUUAAUUCGAAGCAACGCGAAGAACCUUACCAGGCCUUGACAUACCUUGCAAUACUAUAGAGAUAUAGUGGAGGUUAACAAGGAUACAGGUGGUGCAUGGUUGUCGUCAGUUCGUGUCGUGAGAUGUUUGGUUAAGUCCAGCAACGAACGCAACCCCUGUCCUUAGUUGCCAGCAUUAAGUUGGGGACUCUAGGGAGACUGCUAGUGUAAGCUAGAGGAAGGUGGGGAUGACGUCAAAUCAUCAUGCCCCUUAUGGCCUGGGCUACACACGUGCUACAAUGGCUGAUACAAAGAGUUGCAAAAUCGCAAGGUCGAGCUAAUCUCAAAAAAUCAGUCUCAGUCCGGAUUGAAGUCUGAAACUCGACUUCAUGAAGUCGGAAUCGCUAGUAAUCGCAAAUCAGCAAUGUUGCGGUGAAUACGUUCUCGGGUCUUGCACACACCGCCCGU
rnacentral:rRNA from 1 species